UACGUUCGACGGGAUUCAGAGGUGGUACUGCUCUUCUUCUAUGCCCCUUGGUGUGGACAGUCCAUCGCUGCCAGGGCAGAAAUUGAGCAAGCAGCAAGUCGGCUUUCAGAUCAGGUGUUGUUUGUGGCAAUUAACUGUUGGUGGAACCAGGGGAAAUGCAGAAAACAGAAACACUUCUUUUAUUUUCCUGUAAUAUAUCUGUAUCAUCGGAGUUUUGGACCAAUCGAAUACAAAGGCCCCAUGAGUGCUGUUUACAUUGAGAAGUUUGUCCGCCGGGUGAUGAAACCACUUCUCUACAUCCCAUCUCAAUCAGAAUUACUAGAUUUUCUCUCAAACUACGAGAGGCCUGGCGAGGUGCUUCAUGCCUGCAACCCCAGCACUUGGGAGGCCAAGGUGGAGGAUUGCUGGAAGCCAGGAAUUCAAGACCAGCCUGGGCAACAAAAUUAGACCCUGUGUCUAUAACAAAAUGUUAAAAAUUAGCCAAGCAUGGUGGCACAUGCCUGUAGUCCCAGCUCUACUUGGGAGGCUGAGGCUGAAGGAUUGCUUGAGUCCAGGAGUUUGGCGUUACAGUGAGCUAUGAUGGCACCACUGCACUCCAUCCUGGGCAACAGAGUGAGACUCCAUCUCAAAACAAAACAAAGACAAGACUCUGAGACCAGAAACAAUUUCUAGGACAACAGUUUUGCCUUUAAGUUACUUAAACAUCACAGAAAGCCAUUAAAGGCCUGGAGUACUCGGGUACUUUGAGUUCAGUGGCUCACCCCAGCCUCCUGGUUAUUUGACCUUCUUCACCUCAGCAUUACAUUCAUUAAAGAAAGAUUACCUAGGAACAGUACGAUUUGGGGUUAUCACAAAUAAACAUCUUGCGAAACUGGUAUCCUUAGUACACUCUGGAAGUGUGUAUUUACAUAGACAUUUCAACACAUCACUUGUCUUCCCCAGGGAGGUCCUGAACUACACAGCUGAGAACAUCUGUAAGUGGGCCUUAGAAAACCAGGAGACGCUCUUUCGGUGGCUGCGGCCACACGGAGGCAAGAGUCUCCUGCUGAAUAACGAGCUGAAGAAAGGACCAGCGCUGUUUCUGUUCAUACCUUUUAAUCCCCUGGCCGAAAGUCAUCCUUUA
rnacentral:lncRNA from 1 species